rnacentral:rRNA from 1 species
UACGAAGGGGGCUAGCGUUGCUCGGAAUUACUGGGCGUAAAGCGCACGUAGGCGGCUCUUUAAGUCGGGGGUGAAAUCCUGGAGCUCAACUCCAGAACUGCCUUCGAUACUGUAGAGCUUGAGUUCGGGAGAGGUGAGUGGAACUGCGAGUGUAGAGGUGAAAUUCGUAGAUAUUCGCAAGAACACCAGUGGCGAAGGCGGCUCACUGGCCCGAUACUGACGCUGAGGUGCGAAAGCCAGGGGAGCGAACGGG